rnacentral:rRNA from 1 species
AGUGAACGCUGGCGGUAGGCCUAACACAUGCAAGUCGAACGGCAGCACAGGAGAGCUUGCUCUCUGGGUGGCGAGUGGCGGACGGGUGAGGAAUACAUCGGAAUCUACUCUGUCGUGGGGGAUAACGUAGGGAAACUUACGCUAAUACCGCAUACGACCUACGGGUGAAAGCAGGGGAUCUUCGGACCUUGCGCGAUUGAAUGAGCCGAUGUCGGAUUAGCUAGUUGGCGGGGUAAAGGCCCACCAAGGCGACGAUCCGUAGCUGGUCUGAGAGGAGGAUCAGCCACACUGGAACUGAGAGACGGUCCAGACUCCUACGGGAGGCAGCAGUGGGGAAUAUUGGACAAUGGGCGCAAGCCUGAUUCAGCCAUACCGCGUGGGUGAAGAAGGCCUUCGGGUUGUAAAGCCCUUUUGUUGGGAAAGAAAUCCAGCUGGCUAAUACCCGGUUGGGAUGACGGUACCCAAAGAAUAAGCACCGGCUAACUUCGUGCCAGCCGCCGCAGUAA